UGGGGAAUAUUGCACAAUGGGCGCAAGCCUGAUGCAGCCAUGCCGCGUGUGUGAAGAAGGCCUUCGGGUUGUAAAGUACUUUCAGCGAGGAGGAAGGCGUUGUGGUUAAUAACCGCAGCGAUUGACGUUACUCGCAGAAGAAGCACCGGCUAACUCCGUGCCAGCAGCCGCGGUAAUACGGAGGGUGCAAGCGUUAAUCGGAAUUACUGGGCGUAAAGCGCACGCAGGCGGUCUGUCAAGUCGGAUGUGAAAUCCCCGGGCUCAACCUGGGAACUGCAUCCGAAACUGGCAGGCUAGAGUCUUGUAGAGGGGGGUAGAAUUCCAGGUGUAGCGGUGAAAUGCGUAGAGAUCUGGAGGAAUACCGGUGGCGAAGGCGGCCCCCUGGACAAAGACUGACGCUCAGGUGCGAAAGCGUGGGGAGCAAACA
rnacentral:rRNA from 1 species